UGCUGCGCUCCCCACUUCAUCCCCACCAUGGAGAAGCUGAAGAAGCGGGGCGGGGAAGGUGGUGGCCGAGGAGGAGCAGCUCCGCAUGGAGGCCAAGGCCGAGGGCGAGGAGGCCGAGCUGCUCAUCCGCGACGAGUUCUCCGUCCUCUGCCGCGACCUCUACGCGCUCUACCCGCUGCUCAUCCGCUACGUGGACAACAGCCGGGCCAAGUGGCUGACGGAGCCCAACGAGGGACGCGGAGGAGCUGUUCCGCAUGGUCGGGGAGGUCUUCAUCUACUGGUCCAAGUCCCACAACUUCAAGCGUGAGGAGAGCAGAACUUCGUGGUGCAGAACGAGAUCAACAACAUGUCCUUCUCACGGCCGACAGCAAGAGCAAGAUGGCCAAGGUGGGGGGGGGACAACGCGCCCC